rnacentral:tmRNA from 1 species
GGGGAUGAUUGGUUUUGACAGCGGUCAGGGCAGAUCCGUAAGCAUGCAGUGCCUUGAUUCUACGCACUUAAAUCUCAGAAUUAAAACCAUAUCUGGCGAAAACAACUACGCUCUCGCUGCUUGAUCGAAGUACAGUAGAUCUAUGCUUAAUCCCUGUCAUAGUGGCGGGGACGGGACAUCACCCCCAGCUCACGUCCUGAAGCUUAAGGGAAUCGGUGGUGCAGCAAUAUCGGGAAUAGGAUAAGAUUCGUCCGGGGUCUUGUCCGAAACUUUACGGAAUAAGGCUUGAAUAGGUGGCUUCGGUCCGGUUCUAGCACGAAAAUCUAAGCGAAGAUAAGCAUGUAGAAAGCGUAUUGGUUCACCGUUUGGACGAGGGUUCGACUCCCUCCAUCUCCACC